rnacentral:lncRNA from 1 species
UUUAAAAAAUGAAUUAAAGACUAGAAGCACAAAAGAUUAGAGGAGAUAAGUCAUCUAUUUAAAUAUGUGCAUUUUUCCUUAAGUGGAUCUAUUUGGUCUAUCCUGUUAUAUUUCAGAAUUUUGUUACCUUUUUAAAUAUAAACUAUAUCAAAACAAGCAAAACAAGAGAGUUUCUGAAGGAGAAUUUAAGCAUUAUUUUCCUAUUCUCUGACUCUAUAAGAAUUAAUCAGCUAAUGAAUCAACUAGCUAUUAGUUAUUGUGUUCCUUUAAAGCACCCAGUUCUGCCCUUCUAUGUGUCAAUAAAAGAUAACACUGAUUUCUCCCUCAGUUUUAUUUUUGUCUUUCAGCUCUAUGCUAACUUGCGUGAGACAUCUGUGCACAAUCCAUCCAGCUGUGAUUAAAUUCCUGGUUUCAGUGUUUGUGUGUGUGUGUUUCAAUUCAAAAAUUAAAGGCAAAUUCCUGUGGAAAGAGAUACUUGGAAAACGUCUGCAAAUGUAUGAAAUGUGAAGACUCUCUCACCUUGAGAGU